ACGGAAGGCAGCAGUGGGGAAUAUUGGGCAAUGGGCGCAAGCCUGACCCAGCAACGCCGCGUGAAGGAAGAAGGCUUUCGGGUUGUAAACUUCUUUUGUCAGGGACGAGUAGAAGACGGUACCUGAUGAAUAAGCCACGGCUAACUACGUGCCAGCAGCCGCGGUAAUACGUAGGUGGCAAGCGUUGUCCGGAUUUACUGGGUGUAAAGGGCGUGUAGCCGGGUCGGCAAGUCAGAUGUGAAAUCUAUGGGCUCAACCCAUAAACUGCAUUUGAAACUGUUCUUCUUGAGUGCUGGAGGGGCAAUCGGAAUUCCUUGUGUAGCGGUGAAAUGCGUAGAUAUAAGGAGGAACACCAGUGGCGAAGGCGGAUUGCUGGACAGUAACUGACGGUGAGGCGCGAAAGUGUGGGGAGCAAACAGGAUUAGAUACCCUGGUA
rnacentral:rRNA from 1 species